GAAACUGGAAGCUUCAAGUCUUUAUGAGAAAACGGCAAGAAGAUGCAGAAACGAGCUCAGAAGUGGAGCGGGAAACCUCUGAUCGUCAAUCUCUGAUGGUCAACCUCUGAGGCAGGCACGUGCACAGGAUUUUGGAGGCAUUUAAGCCUUCUCCUCCCCUUCCUCCUCGCCAGGAAGUUGUCUUCACAACGCCAAGCCAAGCUCGCCUCGUGCAUCACGCCAAACCAAGCUCGCCUUGUGCAUCACGCCAAGCCAAGCUUGUCUCGUGCAUCACGCCAAGCCAACCUCGUCUCGUGCAUCAGAGGGAGUGUCAUGGAUUCGAGAGGUGGAUCGUGUCAUCGAUAACGAACAGAUUGGGAGUGUUUCCCAUUAAAAUAAAAAGUGUAAAAUAAAAAAAUAAAAAAUGAACUCGUGAUUUAAAGUUUGAAAAACAGAAUAUGUUAUGUAACCCCUGAUGAAGUCCAAUGUACUAUAAUUGCAUGUCAAGACAUAAAUUCAGUAUGAUAAA